AUUUAUAUAUAUGUUUACUCACAUAUAUAUUUAAUUUGUCUAUACCAUUUGGAAAUACAUUUUUUUUAAAUAAAAAAAAUUGUAUUUACUUAGAAGCAUUCAGAAUGUCAACAAAACAGCUGCAAUUUUUUUUUUGCAAUUACAGAGUGGUAUUCAGUUAACAGAACAAUUAUCUUCGUAUAAGCUGCAUCAGAGACAACUGAAGAUGAAAAAAAUAAAACCCAAAAAGAAAACCAAAAGAAAAAAAAAAAACCAAAAAACCAAACUACUGUCCUCAUAUAUAACUAAUUUGUGCUGUGCACCAACAAGAACCUGCUUUAAAUUUCCAUGCCAAUUUACAACCCCCAGACUGUACCAGGCAAGGUUAGUGGCUAUUGAAAAUACCACCAGGACAGGGCUAUCUAAAGACACAUUCGGUAGUGUGUUAACUAUACAAAAAAAGACACUGUACAGUUUAAAAACAAAUCUUACACAGCCUUACAUUUCAAUUUUUUGAUAAUCAGUUGAUACAAAAUUUGUUGGGGUAGGUUUCUCCAACAUCACCACUAUCAUAGCUGCACCCUAGUUCUACCUGUACUGCAGUGCACUAAAGAUCUCCCAUGACCAACCACAGCUGCUACAGACUCUCAGGCAAGUACAGAGACUAAUAGUUCCUGGAGACCAUCUGUUGUCUGCCUCAGUUAUCUCCGUUCCAAACAUGUAGCACAAGAAUAUCCUUGACCCCAGACUCUCAAGGUCACCUCCUCUGGGAAGCACAUCCCUCCGCACCUGCCCACAAACACAUGACAUCUUUUUCCAUCACACCUAUGUCUCCUGACCUUGGAGUCAAACUCAUUUUGACUUUGCACUUGUUACUGAAGCAUCUAUUGUCCCCUGAGAUCAAGGGUGCCCAAAUAAUAUGUUCGGACUAUGCAGCUCUUGAGGUCUAAAAGUUUCCACUGUCACCAGUUGAUUCUUGUGUUGAAGGUUUGCUCCCCAGCUGGUGGCGCUAGCUAGCUUGAGUUGGUAGAAAGUUUGGGAGCUGGGAUGGGAGGGUUGGUUGGGAAUGGACCACUGAGAUGUGCUUUUGAAGGCUGCCUUGUCCUGAGCCAUUUUAUCUCUAUUCCUCCCUCCUUCUCCUUCUCCUCUUCUUCAUCCCCUCUUUCUCUCUCUCCAUUUCCCUCUUCCCCCUCUCUCUUCUUGGAUGCCAAAAGAUGAAUACUUACAACAUGAUGUUCUUUUUUUCUUUAAAAGGAGUGAGUUGUGUACAGGGGGGUUAAAUGCUUUAUAGACAAGAAAAAAAAACUGCGCUAGAACCAACUUAUUCAUCAUCAUCUUCUUCAUCUUCAUCUUCCUCGUCUUCCUCCUCUUCCUCAUCCUCUUCAUCCUCCUCCUCAUCUUCCUCUUCCUUCUUUUUCUUGCUCUUUUCAGCCUUGACCACCCCCUUUUUCGCUGCAUCAGGUUUUCCUUUAGCUCUGUAGGCAGCAAUAUCCUUCUCAUACUUCUCCUUCAGCUUGGCAGCUUUCUUCUCAUAGGGCUGCUUGUCAUCUGCUGCAGUGUUGUUCCACAUCUCUCCUAGUUUCUUUGCAACAUCACCAAUGGAUAAGCCAGGAUGCUCGCCUUUGAUUUUGGGGCGGUACUCAGAACAGAACAAGAAGUCUUGUCUCAGUCUCAGUCGAAAGAGGCCUAUUACUGGAGAAUUCUUCUUCAACAAUUAUAACCUGACUGUGCGUCAAAGAAUUCCUGUGGGAGACGAGUCCUUCAAGUCGUGGUAAAUGUGGGAAAGCCUUCAGAGUUCAUUAAGUACAGGGAUCCUUCAGUGUUCUCUGUGCUUUCAUGAAGCAUGAAAGGACCCAUAUGGGGGAUGCUGACUGUGAUGUGUCCAUUCUGGGAAGUCCACCAGCCUCCGUUCUUUCUUUGUUUUUCACCAUAGGACUCAUACUGGAGAAGAGCUGUGCAGAUGUAAUGUGUAUGAAAAGCAUUCCCCUGGAGUCUCCUGCCUUAUUAUGCAUCUGAGAAUUCACAUAGGACAAAAUGUGUGGAGUGUGGAAUGGCUUUCAUUGGUGGCUCAUACCUUAUUAAGUAUAGAAUUCACAUUGGAGAGAGACUGGGAAGUGGGUAGAGUUGGAAAAAUCCUUCAAUGGCAGUGGUCACCUCAUUGCAUGUUAAGGAAAACAAACAAACAAAAAAACCAAAAGCAACCAAAAUCCUUAACAGAAAGAAGUCCCUCAUGUACAAAGAGUGCCUCUGCCAGGCAUCAGAGGAUUCAUACUGCCUCUGCUGGAAGCCUGGUGGAGUUUUAACUACUGUGGCAAAGCCUUCAGGAAGAGCCCCUCCCUGACCAAGCAGCAGGAGUCACUAUGCAUGAGGUCUUUUGCUAGGUGUUCCAACAGGAGAAAUUUUCAGUGCACCAUUUUCCCAGGUUAAAUACAGAGACGUCACACUGUAGCAAUUUCUGGGAGACUCAGUGAACAGGAGUGGCAGUGACUAUCAGCAUCUCUUUAGUUACUGUUAAAAUUUAUACUCAAGUGUAGUUUGAAAACAUAGCAACUCACCAUCUAGUCCAUGGAAUAUAACCCAUGAGACAUUAUAUCUCUAAUAAACUGGAAUUAUUUUGCUCCUGUACAACAGACUGAAAAUGAACCUUAGAAACAUAAUGAAUUAAAACCAUCUGAGUUUACUCUUCACUAAAUCUAAGACCAGGAAAAAUUUGAAUGCUGGUGACAGGAUCGAGAGAAGAGGAAGCCUUUAUUCUUACUACGUUUCUUUCUUAUAUCCAGAUGUUUUAAGGAUGUGCUUGUAGUUCAGUGGCAAGGAGGGCUUUCCUAGCACUUGUGAAGCCCUCACUUCAACCCUAAGCACCACUGAAUAAAAACAUAGGAGACCAUUUGAAUUGGAGCCCUGGCUUUGUUUCCCCAUCAGUGGACUCAGUUAACACAAUCAAUGGAAGGGUUAGAAAUAUCUGCUGGGAUGCUUCUGUUUGAAGGAUGCACUUGGAACUAACCUAUACUACAAUAAUGUGGAGAACCCUGUUAAGAUGCUUUUCUUGUGUUUUAAGAAAACUCAGUGGGUCUGGAGCGAUGACUCAGUGGUUAAGAGUGCUUGCUGCUCUUCCAGAGGACCUGAGUUUGGUUCCCACCACCCACAUUCACAAUCACUUUUGACUCCCUUUCCAGGGUAUCCAACUCUCUUUCAACAUCUGUCAACACUCAGGUAUACACAUGCACCCUCCCAACACACACAUGCAUGCACACACACCGUCACACACAUACUGUGCACACAUGCAUUUGAAGUAAGUAAAAAUCAAUUUUAUAAACUCUCACACUAGAAACAGAAGACAUUCUAUACUGUGUGGAAAGCUUUCAGAGAGCUGAUCUUUCAUAGUUGCUUUAUUUGAUGGAAAUAAAGCAUUAACCACACAUGAAACUUGAAGUUCUCUAAUAUUUACAUGAGAGAAAGAAAG
rnacentral:lncRNA from 1 species